UUCGCCCUUAGAGUUUGAUCCUGGCUCAGGAUGAACGCUAGCUACAGGCUUAACACAUGCAAGUCGAGGGGCAUCAGUUUGGUUUGCUUGCAAACCAAAGCUGGCGACCGGCGCACGGGUGAGUAACACGUAUCCAACCUGCCUCAUACUCGGGGAUAGCCUUUCGAAAGAAAGAUUAAUAUCCGAUAGCAUAUAUUUCCCGCAUGGGUUUUAUAUUAAAGAAAUUCGGUAUGAGAUGGGGAUGCGUUCCAUUAGUUUGUUGGGGGGGUAACGGCCCACCAAGACUACGAUGGAUAGGGGUUCUGAGAGGAAGGUCCCCCACAUUGGAACUGAGACACGGUCCAAACUCCUACGGGAGGCAGCAGUGAGGAAUAUUGGUCAAUGGACGCGAGUCUGAACCAGCCAAGUAGCGUGAAGGAUGACUGCCCUAUGGGUUGUAAACUUCUUUUAUAUGGGAAUAAAGUUGUCCACGUGUGGACUUUUGUAUGUACCAUAUGAAUAAGGAUCGGCUAACUCCGUGCCAGCAGCCGCGGUAAUACGGAGGAUCCGAGCGUUAUCCGGAUUUAUUGGGUUUAAAGGGAGCGUAGGCGGAUUGUUAAGUCAGUUGUGAAAGUUUGCGGCUCAACCGUAAAAUUGCAGUUGAUACUGGCAGUCUUGAGUGCAGUAGAGGUGGGCGGAAUUCGUGGUGUAGCGGUGAAAUGCUUAGAUAUCACGAAGAACUCCGAUUGCGAAGGCAGCUCACUGGAGUGUAACUGACGCUGAUGCUCGAAAGUGUGGGUAUCAAACAGGAUUAGAUACCCUGGUAGUCCACACAGUAAACGAUGAAUACUCGCUGUUUGCGAUAUACAGUAAGCGGCCAAGCGAAAGCAUUAAGUAUUCCACCUGGGGAGUACGCCGGCA
rnacentral:rRNA from 1 species